GCUCAAAGCUGCCUGGGGCCAUUCUAGGCACAGAGGCAGGGGCCAGGGCCGGCUUUAAGGCCAGCUCCUCGUGCGGUCUGAGGAGUGGAUUAGAAGGGACCAGCACCUGAGCCCCCCUCCAUGCGCCUGAAGGCCCGACCCAGCAGCCCUGGCUUUUCCGUGCUUACCUGCAGCGCCUUCUCCUUCUACCCUCCGGAGCUGCAACUUCGGUUCCAGCGGAAUGGGCUGGCCGCUGGCACCGGCCAGGGCGACUUCGGCCCCAACAGUGACGGAUCCUUCCACGCCUCAUCGUCACUAAUAGUCAAAAGUGGCGAUGAGCACCACUACUGCUGCGUCGUGCAGCACGCGGGGCUGGCGCAGCCCCUCAGGGUGGAACUGGGUGA
rnacentral:sRNA from 1 species